rnacentral:rRNA from 1 species
GGCCUAACACAUGCAAGUCGAGGGGCGAGCACAGGGAGCAAUCUGAGGUGGCGACCGGCGCACGGGUGAGUAACACGUAUGCAACCUGCCUGUAAGCGGGGAAUAACCCGUUGAAAGACGGACUAAUACCGCAUAAUACUAAAUUACUGCAUGGUAAUUUAUUUAAACAUUUUAUGGCUUACAGAUGGGCAUGCGCAUGAUUAGCUAGUUGGAGAGGUAACGGCUCCCCAAGGCAACGAUCAUUAGGGGUUCUGAGAGGAAGGUCCCCCACACUGGUACUGAGACACGGACCAGACUCCUACGGGAGGCAGCAGUGAGGAAUAUUGGUCAAUGGACGAGAGUCUGAACCAGCCAAGUCGCGUGCAGGAAGAAUGUUCCCUAUGGAUUGUAACUGCUUUUGCAGGGGAAUAAAGUGCAUCACGUGUGAUGUUUUGUAUGUACUCUGCGAAUAAGGAUCGGCUAACUCCGUGCCAGCCGCUGC